UACAGAGGGUGCGAGCGUUAAUCGGAAUUACUGGGCGUAAAGGGCGCGUAGGCGGCAUGGCAAGUCAGGAGUGAAAGGCCUGGGCUCAACCGAGGAACUGCUUUUGAUACUGCCAAGCUAGAGUGCGGAAGGGGCAACUGGAAUUCCCAGUGUAGCGGUGAAAUGCGUAGAUAUUGGGAAGAACACCUGAGGCGAAGGCGGGUUGCUGGGCCGACACUGACGCUGAGGCGCGAAAGCCAGGGGAGCAAACGGG
rnacentral:rRNA from 1 species